rnacentral:misc_RNA from 1 species
AGACGGGUAUCGCAUUUUAGGUUUGGUGGUGUCGGUGUUGUAGUGUUAGUGUUAUUGUAUGUUUAUUGCUACAAUAAUUUGUACUUAAGGUACAGAUUAAGCAUCGGAAAUGUAUUAGUGUUGUGAUUUACAUGUUACUCAAAGCGGAUCGUCUAGGCACAGUGCUGUAACUUGGGCAGAUGAAAGACCUUUGAAUACUGGCUCAUUUAUCGUAAUGCAAGUCGUGUGUAACCUAGUCAAGCCGCAUGCGACCAGGAGCCGCGAGCGAUGAUAGUGGUUGUGAUGUUCACGAAAGAGUUGUGUAUUUUACAAGAUUAAAUAUUGCGUGUACAUUUUAUGUGAUCACAAAUCUACUGACUUGAGAGCGAGAGAGCGAACGAUGGAAGAUAUUUUUUCACUUUGCCGAGAAGGCAACGCGUUUCAUGUGCGUGUUUGGUUAGACAACCCGGAAAACGACCUGAAUCAAGGAGACCACCAUGGCUUCAGUCCGCUGCACUGGGCGUCGAGGGAGGGACGCACGAACAUCGUCGACAUGCUCAUCCUGCGCGGCGCUCGCAUCAACGCGACGAACAUGGGAGACGACACAGCACUGCAUCUCGCCUCCAGCCACGGUCACAGAGAGAUCAUGCUCAUGUUGUUGAACAACAAGGCGGACAUCAAUGCUAUUAACGAGCAUGGCAACACGCCCUUGCACUACGCAUGCUUCUGGGGUCAGGACCAGGUCGCCGAGGACCUGGUCGCCAAUGGCUCCCUGGUGUCUCUGCAAAACAAGUAUGGCGAGACACCGCUGGAUAAGUCUCGCUACCCGCUGGCCAAGCGGUUACAAGACAAGGCAACGCAGAUGGGUCAGGAAUUGAAUAAGAUUCCCUACAAGGACCAGUCGUGGCGCGGCUACAAGACGCGCAGCCGCGACGCCACGCUGUCACGCUACUCCGGAAUCGACAUCAACCAGCUAAACCUACAAGUUCGCAUCGCAAGCAGCCACUCUGGAGACCUGUGGCGAGGGACCUGGCAGAGCAAUGACAUUGUCGCCCGCGUGCUCAACAUACGUGAGGUCACGCAGAGAAUCUCACGCGACUUCGCCGAGGAGUAUCCCAGACUCAGGGUUUUCUCGCACCCGAACGUGCUUCCAGUGCUGGGCUGCAGCAACCAACCGCCGAACCUGGUGUGCAUCAGCCAGUACCAGCCGUACGGCUCCCUCUACAAUCUGCUGCACGAGUCCACGAGUGUGGUGGUGGACCACGCGCAGGCGUUGAAGUUUGCGGUGGACCUUGCGCGUGGCAUGGCAUACUUGCACACGCUGGAACCUCUGAUUCCGCACUACUAUCUCUCCAGUAAACACAUCAUGAUUGACGAGGACCUGACGGCGCGAGUGAACAUGGCCGACGCCAAGUUCACCUUCCAGGAGCGCGGCAAGCUGUACUCGCCGGCGUGGAUGGCUCCCGAGGCUCUGCAGAAGAAGCAGGACGACAUCAACGUGCGCGCCUCUGACAUGUGGAGCUUCGCGAUCCUGCUCUGGGAGCUGGCAACGCGCGAGGUGCCUUUCUCAGACAUGAGUCCGAUGGAGAUCGGAAUGAAGAUUGCCCUUGAGGGCCUGCGCAUCACCAUACCGCCCGGCAUAUCUCCUCACAUGUCGAAGCUGGUGCGUAUAUGCAUGAACGAGGAUCCGGGAAAGCGUCCGAACUUCGACAUGAUACUGCCGAUUCUGGAGAAGAUGAAACACUGAGGCGUGCGUUGAGGAUAGGUGGCGCCACACAUGCACAACGUAUUUGCGUCGCUCUGCCGUGGACUUCACCAGGAGGUGGUGGAGUCAUGGCAGGAGGUGGUGGAGUCAUGGCAGGAGGUGGUGGAGUCAUGGCAGGAGGUGGCCGUUUAGAGAGUACUUAAAAAAGCAACUAUGCAGACUGAUUUGGAGUGAUUCGCGUGAAUAGUUGAUGAUGCCUUAUUACGCAAAGGAGGUAGCCUGUGCCCAGGUGAGCUCGAGAUUGUAACUAUGCUUGCGGUUGGACUGUCGAAAAAUCGUUUGUCGAAUACGCGUUAUGUAACGGAAUGAACAGCUAAGCAGCAUCAGGGCACCGUGUCGAUUUUCAUCAGGUCUCUUGGGGACAGCGUACGUGAGUACCAGUUAAUACCAGUGAGCAUUUACCGUGCAUCUUGCAUGGCGGUUCAAGUAGCUGGUGAAAGACAACGUGCAAUUUGCCCGCUAGCCAGCUUUGCUAUAAAUCCGAGAAUAAUCGUCUGCCGUUAUUGUGAGAAUUUCUGUAUUUAGUCGUGAAGGUCUCCCCUCUGAUUUUGAAGAGGUGCUGUUUGCUCUGCCCAUACGAGAAUAUUUCUUUUAAGGUUGGUAACCGACUGCGAUCGUUAGUUGUUAGGCUACGCAAUUUUCUUAGCCAGCGUUGCGUUUAAAAUUUGCCGUAUGUGCGUAGUAGCUGUAGCAGAAGUGGAUUCCCAAAAAAUGUCAGUGUAGGGUUGAAACCACCGAAGUGUAUAGGAUCAUGUGCAAGCGCUCGGCCAAUGACGGUGUGGUUGUACGCAAUGACGUUCACUUGUUAUUUAUUCAUGGGACAUCUAUAUUUUUGUAACAUUAGCCAUAAGCAUGCUCGUAUCUUCAUCAUGCCUUGCUUACUGUUUUGGUGAAUUAUUUUAUAUAAUACGUGCAGGGCGGGUGAAUCGCAUACGAUAAACGUGGGGUAAUUGUGGUCCUUAUUGGAAUUCACUUGGGGUGGUGCCCUUAAUCAGCUAAAAAACAAUUGAUUGCUGGCUUUACUUAGAAUAGGUAGACUUAAUUCCUUGCCCUCCUUGCACUAAAUUUCACAACACGAUUUGUCAUUGUCGUGUGUUAUAUUUUAGUGUACUUGUAUAAAGAAUGCUAGCUAUUCUGUUGCCUUCACCUCGGCCACUGUAGAUCCAUUGCCAGUCCUAGUAGUUAUUAAUAUAGCUUCUCCACUCAGGUAAAAAAAAUGACGGAAAGGGGAAAGAAGAUUUGGUGCUUUUCAACUUUUUAAAAGCUUUUGCAAAUUUGUGUUUUAUGAGUUAAGCUCGUGGAAUUUUUCCUAGAUGGGAAUUGAGCUGCAUACGUACAUAUAACUGUGUAAUAUUAUUAAUAAUAUUUUGCUAAAUGAUAUUAGUCAGUUCAAUCGAGGCUACAUUGGGCUUUGUUUGAAUAUAAUGUUAAUGGCAACAGCCACGUUAGUUUAAAUACGAAAUCAAAAAUAGCGUUUAAUGAUUAUGACAAAGUUCUGUCAGUGUAAUAAAAGUGUAAUUGUACGGUCUCAUAAAUUCAUUUACACGAUAAUGGUGUAUCAUUCUUGUCUGACUUGGCUGUCUUGCUAAGCAGUAAAUGCUGCAACUAAUGAAUACUUGCAGCAAAAAAAUAAUGAUAAAAUAUACACACAAACAAUCCGUCAUGUGUAUCAUUUGACAAUAGUAAUUAAAGAUAAAUAUGUGAAUUAAGAUAAUAGUAAGUCUAAUCAUGAUUCGGAAAUUUAUGGUAUACUGUGCAACGUUUACUGUACUUUUGUUUAUGCCUAGAGGAGUAACGAAAUUUGUAAACUAGAAAAAUAAUAAAUAUGUGUUUUUAACGGA